rnacentral:rRNA from 1 species
AAUGAACGUUGGCGGCGUGGAUUAGGCAUGCAAGUCGAGCGUGUACCCGCAAGGGGAAAGCGGCAAACGGGGUAGGAACGCGUAGGUCACGUACCCCUCGGCCGGGGAUAGCCACGGGAAACUGUGGGUAAUACCCGAUGACGCCGAGAGGCCAAAGGUGUGAUUCCGCCGGGGGAGCGGCCUGCGUAGUAUUAGCUAGUUGGUGAGGUAAUGGCUCACCAAGGCGAAGAUGCUUAGGGGGUGUGAGAGCACGACCCCCACCACUGGGACUGAGAUACUGCCCAGACACCUACGGGUGGCUGCAGUCGAGAAUCUUCGGCAAUGGGGGCAACCCUGACCGAGCGACGCCGCGUGUGGGAUGAAGGCCCUUGGGUUGUAAACCACUGUCAGAGGGGAUGAAACGAUCAUGGGUUCUCCCAUGGUCCUGACAUAGCCUCAGAGGAAGCACGGGCUAAGUUCGUGCCAGCAGCCGCGGUAAUACGAACUGUGCAAACGUUAUUCGGAAUCACUGGGUAC